GCCGCCGCGCUCAUCGGCGAGGGCGCGGCCUUGCCGAGCCGGAGGUUCCACUCCUUCUGGCGGCG
rnacentral:tRNA from 2 species